UGUAGAAUUGUAAUGCAUUUGUGCUAUCUCUUCCUUUUCUUUACUCUUCUCUCUUUCUGUCCACUAUACGAAAGGCACCGCCCACAAAGAAGAUUCACAGUGAACGACAAAAGAAGAGAAAUUAUUGAAUGCAUGAAUCACGGGGUAGUGUCAGAGACCGAAAUGGUUAAUGAUUUAU